CUGCGCUGAUGAUUGUAGAUGUGACUGACCUGGCACUGCCGGCCUCCGGGUCGGCUUUGGCCAGGAAAUGACCCCCAUUAAUCUUCUCUCUGAGCAG
ensembl:snoRNA